rnacentral:misc_RNA from 1 species
GGGAGACGAUCAUGGAGGGUUGGGAUCCGAACACGAAGUCGGCGCUGACGAAGAUCCCGCUGCUGACGACGCGGGCGGGGCCGCGCGACGGCGCGGCGUGGACGCAGCGGCUGAAGGAGGAGUACAAGGGGCUGAUCGCCUACACGGCGAUGAACAAGGCGAACGACAACGACUGGUUCCGCAUCUCCGCCGCCAACCCGGAGGGCACUCGCUGGUCCGGCACCUGCUGGUACAUCCACAACCUCCGCCGCUACGAGUUCCAGCUCCAAUUCGACAUCCCCGUCACCUACCCCGCCACCGCUCCCGAGAUCGAGCUCCCCCAGCUCGACGGCAAGACGCACAAGAUGUACAGGGGAGGCAAGAUCUGCCUCACCGUCCAUUUCAAGCCCCUCUGGGCGAAGAACAGUCCUAGAUUUGGCAUAGCACAUGCUCUCUGCCUGGGACUUGCGCCGUGGCUCGCCGCAGAGGUGCCGGUGCUGGUUGACUCUGGCAUGGUGAAGCACAAGGAUGAUGAAGGCUCU